UUGAUAAUAAAUUUAUUUUUUUAGAUGUAUCAAUACAGUUCGAACUAUGAAAAUAAAGAUGAAAAGAUACACUGAGGAUUCAUUUUCAGUAAAAAGCAGAACUAUGACAAUUACAGGAGCAUCACCUGUGAAAGGUUACAAAUGUUACAAAUGACACCAAUGAAGGAUCUAUAAGCAACUGUUAUAUACCAGAAACAGGAGGCAGGUACAAAAUUAUUAAACGAAGACAGAAAACUUGCAAGUGAUCGUGCAUGAGAACUGAACACCAG